AUGCAAUACAAAAGAAGGACUAUUCUAAACUUUCCAACACUUCGGCUUACAAACACACAGAAGAAAGCGUAUGGUCUGAUUGAGAUAGAAAAACUGAUGAGGCAAGUAGGAAAGUCACUAAAGGACUAUCCAGACAUAGAACUACCAAAUGCCGCAGAGCUAGAAGAACUUGGGAACAGACUAAUAAACGAAGAGGUCAACUACGACAUGGACAAACUCAAGGAUGAGCACAAAAUCAUACUAAACAAUCUUAACCAAGACCAGAAAAAGGCCUAUGAUGCAAUAAUGGAGUCAGUCGACAAAGGCCUAGGAAAGCAGAUAUUUGUCGAAGGCUACGGUGGCACAGGAAAAACCUAUCUAUGGAAAGCAAUAACGACAAAGCUAAGAUCAGAGGGGAAGAUAGUACUUGCAGUAGCAUCAUGUGGGAUUGCAGAGUUGCUUCUCCAAGGUGGAAGAACAGCACACUCAAGGUUCCGUAUUCCACUUAAUAUCACUAAAGAAUCAACGUGUGAAAUAAAACAAGGCUCGCAUUUGGCUGAACUGCUAAAGAAGACCUCACUUAUAUUGUGGGACGAGGCUCCUAUGGCAAACAAACACUGCUUCGAGGCACUAGACAAAAGCCUUAGAGAUAUUCUAAGGUUCACUAAUGAAAACAGAGAUGAAAAGUCAUUUGGUGGAAUGAUAGUUAUACUAGGACGCGACUUCAGACAAAUCCUGCCAGUUAUAACCAAAGGAAGGAGAGAGCAGAUAGUAAAUGCUUCAAUCAAAAGGUCAUAUCUGUGGAAACUCUUUGAAGUAUUUGAGUUAACACAGAACAUGCGGCUGAAGUGUUUGUCAGAUGAUCCAAUACAAAAGCAAAAGGUUGCUGAAUUGGCAGAGUGGAUACUACAGAUUGGCGAUGGGAAAACAACAUCAGAUGAAGGAGAGGAUUGGAUAAAAAUACCAAAAGACCUACUGCUAGAGAAAGGAUAA
rnacentral:rRNA from 1 species